ensembl:ncRNA lncRNA:CR45742 long non-coding RNA:CR45742
AGGCUCUUAAAAAGCAGUCGAGGAAAAUAGCGAAAGCGAAGCGAACGGGCCGAGAAGAAAGGAACAUUUCAAAUGAAGCGCAUUGCAUUUAUUCAGUUCGCUCGACGAGAUGCUUAAAGGAUUACAAUUGCAGCGAACGGGACACAGAACGAGAGCUGAAGAUGAGCUGACUUACGCACAAAGGACGAGAGCAAGGAAAACUUUGCCCCGGGCCCUGGGAAAGCUUUGCGCCCGAAAACGGCGAGUCCAUACACAGGG